AACUUUCAACAACGGAUCUCUUGGUUCCGGCAUCGAUGAAGAACGCAGCGAAAUGCGAUAAGUAAUGUGAAUUGCAGAAUUCCGUGAAUCAUCGAAUCUUUGAACGCACAUUGCGCCCUCUGGUAUUCCGGGGGGCAUGCCUGUUCGAGCGUCAUUGCAACCCCUCAAGCACG
rnacentral:rRNA from 1 species